UCAAGGGGCCAAAGAGCCGCAUGUGGCUCGCGAGCCGCAGUUUGCCGACCACUACCCUAGGCUAAACAAAGUUUUUCAGGUUCUUGACUGCAGUAUUUCCCAGAACCUUUCAUCCGUCAUACAGGUGCAUUUAUAUUUAUCAUCUAUGCAUGCUUAAGAGAAUGGGGUAUACUUACUAGGCAUACAUCGGCAAUUGAUAUAACACUUUUAUUAAAACUUACCUAAUUGUCUUAAUGAUGUUCUUUAAAGCUGAUUUGUUUGUUUGCUUGUUUUUAUCCAGGAUCCAAUUAAGGAUCUCGCCUUGCAUGUGGCUGUCAUGGCCCUUUCGAAUUAAUUAAGAACAGCCUAAACAUUUUUGUCAGGAAUACUACGUAAGUGAUAAUUGCGUCCUUCUUAGUUCAACAUCAUAAGGCAAGUAUAUUGCCAGGUUAAGAUUUGUAACCAUUAUUAGCAAAAAAUUAAGAUUAAUAAAGUUCUUUAUUAAAAGUUUUAUGGAUGAAA